CCUACGGGAGGCAGCAGUGGGGAAUUUUGGGCAAUGGGCGCAAGCCUGAUCCAGCAAUGCCGCGUGCAGGAUGAAGGCCUUCGGGUUGUAAACUGCUUUUGUACGGAGCGAAACGGUCUGCUUUAAUACAGUAGGCUAAUGACGGUACCGUAAGAAUAAGCACCGGCUAACUACGUGCCAGCAGCCGCGGUAAUACGUAGGGUGCGAGCGUUAAUCGGAAUUACUGGGCGUAAAGCGUGCGCAGGCGGUUAUAUAAGACAGAUGUGAAAUCCCCGGGCUCAACCUGGGACCUGCAUUUGUGACUGUAUAGCUAGAGUACGGUAGAGGGGGAUGGAAUUCCGCGUGUAGCAGUGAAAUGCGUAGAUAUGCGGAGGAACACCGAUGACGAAGGCAAUCCCCUGGACCUGUACUGACGCUCAUGCACGAAAGCGUGGGGAGCAAACAGGAUUAGAUACCCUGGUAGUCCACGCCCUAAACGAUGUCAACUGGUUGUUGGGUCUUCACUGACUCAGUAACGAAGCUAACGCGUGAAGUUGACCGCCGNGGGAGGUACGGCCGCGAGGUUAGUAAACGUUAAAGGUAAGUUAGUACGGCGUGAGACGUAGACCGACGGACGACGACGAGGGGAGGAGG
rnacentral:rRNA from 1 species